AAAAAACAAAAACAAAAAACGCAAGACAUUAGAUCAUGAUACAGGAAAAGCGGAAACAUUGGAGUACUCUGAAAAAAUGCUAGGGGACGUGUAGACCUCAGAUUCUCUGGAAGAAGAUGUUAAAAUGGAACAGGAAGGUGACAAAAUACAUGUGUGAAGUACUCUCAAGGGACAAUGGGAGGCAUCUGGAGAAAAAGGAAAUCAGCUCUGAGAACUAACAGGAAAAAGGAAGAAGAACAGUAUAUGGCUGGCAUAUUUUGGCUGAAAAAGAUGAUUGUUUGGAAAAAAAAAGUAUGUAUAUAUUAAAUAUCCAUUCUUG